UCUGAUGACUUACCAGAACCUCUUCUCGUAACUGUCCCAGAGGCGCAGGGAGCUGGUUGAGGGCUUUGUCCAUGCCGACCUAAAGGCAAAAUCAUGUUGCCACAAGCACAUCACAGCAAGGGGUUCCCUUCAUCUUGGAUGCAUUCGUCUGUGCAGAGAAAACUGCUACCUAGAUGGGUCCUGCUGCAUAUGGCAGGUCAAUCACUACCACCCCAGCCAGUCAGAGCGAGUCUGCAUGCAGCAAGUGGGUCUCUGCCUCUGGGCCUCCAUGCCUACACAGCCAUCCCACACAGCCAUCCUCUGGGGCUCUGACCUCAGCGCUGCCACCACUCCAGCCUCUGCUCUGCUCUCCUGCAGCCUCGCCGUCGCCGCCGUGUCACCGUGUCACCCAGAGCACUGGGUGGAGCUCUUUCUAUAGAGUCAAUAGCAACAUAUUGCCCACAUGAGUGGUGAGCUAGCCGACUAGGCCCAGGUGAGAAUCCUGGCCACAGGAACUUUCAUUUUAUCCACACUUAACACAGU